GAUGAACGCUGGCGGCAUGCCUAACACAUGCAAGUCGGACGGGAAGUGGUGUUUCCAGCGGCGGUCGGGUGAGGAACGCGUAAGAACCUGCCAUGGGGAUGGGAACAACAGCUGGAUACGGUCGCUAAUACCCCGCUGGUAGAGGAGCAAAAGGAGGAAUCCACCUGAGGAGUGGUUCGCGUAUGAUUUACUAGGUGGUGGAGCAGUAGCUUACCAAGGCGAUGAACAGGAGCCGUUCCGAGAGGAAGAUCGGCCACACUGGGACUGGGACCAGCAGUAGGGAACAUCGGGCGACGGGCGAAAGGAAGAUUCAGCAAUGGCGCGUGGGUGAAGAAGGCCUUGCGACGGGGAAGCAGAAGGACUAGGGAUGAAGAACUGCUUGUCCAGGAGAAGAAGCAUUGACGGUAUCUAGAGAAUAAGCAUCGGCUAACUCUGUG
rnacentral:rRNA from 1 species